rnacentral:lncRNA from 1 species
CCUUCCUAUAGCAGACAAAAUGACCAUCUUAUAUUGGAAAAGUAAGUUAUUGCUAAGUAAUAUUCUCAAAUUUUGUUGCAAUCAGCUUUAAAUGAUUCUGAUUUGAGAGAUAUGACCCUUGAGUGACAAAGCCCAUUUCACCAUUUACACAGGGAAAAAAAAUCUCUUUAAAGCACUAUAUAGUUAAAAACAUUGACAAGGAAAUUAAAUUAGUAGAGCUAUCACUUUGAUGUGAUGUACAUGGUAAGAUUGUAAAUACACCAACUAUAAUAUAGAAUUUAAUUUUAUCUUUAUGAAGUAUUCUGAAAUAAAAGACGAUAAUACAUGCAUCAGGCACAUUCGACAGAAGACUUUUACAAUGGUUUACAUUUCCUUUUUAUUUAUUCCUUGAAACUGCUCGUAUUGCAAGUUUUUCACGGAUGAAAUAUGGAACUGAGCAGAUUCUUUUUUUCUACAAAAUUAUGGUAUAAACUUGCUCAAUUUUCUAUCUUAUUGCUAAUAAACCUUACAGGCGCACAGUUUGUAAAAGAAACCCUAAUAUAUUAUUGUUUCUAACCAUCC